CCACCCCUAUUUAGAAGGAAAACAUCGCUCUUGUGCGCCUAGGGAGAGGCUGCUCCUCUCACCUUAGAGCAUAUUGUAAGGUUACGUUUCAAUUGCGAGUUCUCAGUGAUGGGGAAAUGAGUGUUAAGUUUAUUUAAUUAAAAUGACGAUUAACGGGUAUACACGCACUUUUGUCCUUAUCCAACCCAACUCUUCUGUUGAGGGAAACACCAGCAAUGGCACCUACAUGGAAACAGAUCCCGAUAUGUGGGACGACAUUCUCACAUUGGUUCUCAAAUCAUGUGCCAUGAUUAUUAUUAUGUUUGCUGCGGUAUUUGGCAACACCUUGGUUAUUGUCAGCGUAUUUCGUCACCACAAACUCCGGAUUACAACCAACUAUUUUAUUGUAUCCCUUGCCUUUGCUGAUACCCUAGUGGCUCUCCUUGCCAUGACUUUUAACGCUAGUGUAAAGAUUGCCGGGAGAUGGGUAUUUGAUCCCAUUACAUGUGACUUCUGGAACUCCUGUGAUGUACUCUUCUCUACGGCUUCCAUUAUGCACCUCUGCUGCAUCAGUGUUGAUCGUUAUUAUGCAAUCAUCAAACCUUUAGAGUAUCCAAACAAACUGACUGGUCGAACUGUUGCCAUCAUGCUCAUUUGCGUCUGGAUCUCGUCUGCCUUAAUCUCUUUCAUCCCUAUCUUUCUUGGAUGGUAUACAACAGCAGACCAUCUUAAGUUCAAAGAAAGUCAUCCAGAGGACUGUUCUUUUGUGGUUAACAAGCCCUAUGCUAUAAUUUCAUCCAGUGUAUCCUUCUGGAUCCCCUGCUUUAUCAUGCUGUUCACCUACUGGAAGAUCUUUCUCGAAGCCUCGAAACAGGAGAAGACACUGCUAAAAUCCCAGUCUGGGUUGUACCAUCGACCCAGUGCUGACCAUACUGCAAUUGGUGGGGUCAACUCCGCCUCUCAACACAGAUAUUCACAUUGUGAUGACACCGAAAGUGGACAUUUUACUCCUACUAAACGUCACUUGAUUAAGUUGAAACGGGAGCAUAAGGCAGCUAAGACGCUGGGUGUUAUUAUGGGUGCUUUCAUCCUUUGUUGGCUGCCUUUCUUCCUCUGGUACGUAUCGAUAACAAUGUGUGGAGAUGCGUGUUACUGUCCUGACAUCGUUGUGGAUGUUCUUUUCUGGAUAGGGUAUUUCAACUCCUCUUUAAACCCUAUCAUUUAUGCCUACUUUAACAGAGACUUUAGAGAAGCAUUUAAACAAACCCUGCUAUCGAUGUUUUGUGCGUGCCGUCGAAUCUCACUACAGGACAAUCACCGAAGAGAGAGCACGAAUGUGCCGUGUAACUGUUCAUACAGAGCGACACAAGACAUUGGCCUAGUAGAAAAUAAAUCAUUUCGCGACUGAUUUGCUGUACGCAGGUGGAUAAAAACGAAAGUAACGUUUUAUCACCGCUUGCCCACAUUUUGAGGUUUUGUGCCAGAGAAAAGCUAAACAGUCACAAGAAAGACAAAUUACCAGCGACCACAUCCGGGGACUUAAGCUUUAUUUAGCUUUCCAAGCGAUAUCAAAUGAUGAAGGGAACAUUAAGAGCAGAGUCCCAGAAGAAAGCUGAAACUAAAGUAAGAGCAACACACUUCCCGAUGCUGCUCAGUUCCUAAUGAUGUGAAGGAGCUCCAGUAACAACCUUCCUGUGAGAGUGGGAAUGAAACGGAGUAGAACAUUUAUUUAUAGUUUACAAAAGGCAUGCGGGAAGCUGACUAUUAUUCACAACCUCCAGGCUUUGUUAUGUAAUAAAGUAUAUUAUAUAGUCCACAACAAAGAAAAUGGAAGGAUUUAUAUGUCAACUAUAAAACACUUAAGUAUUUUGUCUUAUCAGUAGCUGAUGCCCCACCUUAAUUCAAUAUCGCUUACAAUAGGGUUAUAAAAGUCAUGAAUAUAUCUGUUAUUUGGAAUUGUUUCUCAUAAAACUAAACCUAUAAAAAUGUAUAUAACUGUAUAUAAAUUAUGUAAUAUUGAACUUGUGAAAUGAUGAAUUCAAUAUGUAACUAAAGCUAUUAAGCAUCCUUAACGUAUUGAGAAGUAUACGAAGUACAGUGUUCCACAGUUAGGAUCUCUACAUGUUCAUAUAUAUAUAUAUUUAAUAAUAAAUCCGAAGUAUAUAUGUGAUAUCUUCAAUUCAUGUUAAAUUCAGUGAUUGAAUUUGCUUGCGUUUUCAGAUUUAACAUUAUUGAUCAGCCUAGACUUAUUUGAAGAAUGCACAUUAAACCUCAAUAUAUUUGAGCAAUGUGUACAUAGUAUACAUAAAAAAAUAUGCUAUGCAGAAUUUACAUGGAGUUUACUAGGGUUUACGUUACGUUACGUUUAAAACAGAGUAACUGUCAGCACUUUUGAACUGCCUGAACAUUAACGUUACUUAGCUAUACACCUUAUUUUAUGUUCGUGGAAUAAAAUUAAGUUUUGGAGACACAGAUUCAGUAUUACGCAUGGUGUAAAUACAGCACUUGAUGAUGUUAUAGUUUGGUGUUGCAAUAUCUUACGUAAGAUAUGGCUUUGGAAAAUUCACAUUGUACAUAUGUUUUGAACUAACCCAUCAUACUCAAAAAUAUAUAUGUGUUAAAGCCUUACUUUUCUGAAUUAAAUAGUUGGCAUUGCGAUGAAUGACUUUCAUAAGCGUUUAAGUCCUAAUCUUAUUUUUUAAAGAAGAAAGAUCUUCAACAGAUCGGUUUUACGCUCUCUUUUUUACCUACUGUACACACUAGUAUACUGCACAUAGAUACUAUAAGAUGUCAAACUAUUGAUAUUGUAUACAGAAAACUCUAUUCACAUAAUUUAAUCCACCAAUGCUUAAAGAUCGGUGUAUUUUGCUGAGAACUUUAGCUGUGGGUUAAUUCUUUGAAAUAAUUCUUCUAUAGGGAAGAGGGCCAAAAAAUGAAACAUUUCAACAACUCUUUUCCUAUCUAAAAAUGGAGGAGAAAGUAUCGCAAAAUGUCUUCAAAUUCUUUAUAUAUGUCGAAUAUAUGUGAUUUUCUUUAACCGUGCGUCUUUCAAGUUACCUGAUUAUUCAGUUUUCCAUGUAUUGGGCUGAAGAACAAGCUUUAUUGUAUAACCGAGUUAAUUUAGUUGAUAGUAAUUUCAAAUAACUUAUCCGAGUGAAUUAAAUUAUUGGCGUUAUAAAGAAUAAGCCAAGCUAUAGCUAAGCUGAAAAACAAAACUGUUAGAUAAUCUAACUUAUUUAUUUCAGCUAAGAAGCAAGUUAAGAUAUUUGAGCUGAGGAAUCAGUAGAAUAAUCUGACCGAGAUAACUCGGCUUACAGAGAAAUAAUAUAUGUAAGCCUAGUUGAUUGAACUGAAGCUCUCGUUAUAUUAUCAGUCCAGCUGAGUGGAUUGAAGAAAUAAGUUAAUUAUAUAAGUUAACAAAUAUGGUUGGGUUAACUAGAUUUUCAAGCAAGUUUAAUAAUAAUCAACUUGAAGAAAUUAUGCUUAUGAAUAAUUAAAAUAUAAGUCAGCCGGAUUAAUUACAUUUAAGGACAAAUAAUUUAGCCGAGUUAAUCCUCUUUUUUUUUUUUAAAAAAGUAAUAUCGCAUUGCCAAGUAAAUUGAUCUAAUUAACAUGUUAACCUAGAAACCCGAGUUAAUUGAAUUAAGAACAAGUUAAGUAAUGUAGCCAUUUAACUGCGCUAAGAAGCAUGUUAUUCAUUUAAUUGAACUGAAGGACAAAUUCAGUAAUCUGAACCAGUUAACUACCCUGAGACUUGUGUUAUUUUGAUAACUGAAUUGAAUGAAAAGUUGAGUAAUCUAGUUCAUUUAACUGUGCUGAGAAGCGUGUUAUGCAGUUAAUUGGACUGAAGGAUAAAAUAGAGUAAUCUGACCAAAGUUAACCGUACUGAGGAUCGUGACAUUUGGAUAAUUGAACUGAAGGAAAAGUUGAGUAAUCUAGCGCAGUUAACUGCGCUGAAUUAAUUAGGAUAAAUGAAAAGUUAGAUAAUCUAGCCGUAUUAGUUGAGCUGUUGAGCAAAAUAAAUACUCUAACAUAGUUAAUCAAACUGUUGUGUGUGUUAAAUAACAUACUCGAGAUGUUUGGGCAGAGGAACAAGUUAUGAAAGCUAGUCGAGCUUAUUGGGCUUAAGAACCACUUAAACGAUUUAUCUGAGUCAAUUAGAUUUAACAGCUCUAAUUAAAUAAUUUAUAGACUAAAUAAAGUUAAGUAUCUAGGUUAGCUAAUCACCUGCAAGACAAAUAAAUAAUCUAGACAAGUUAAUUAGGCAUAAGAACAUGCUGAGUUAAAGAGCUUAGGACAGAAAAAAAAACAGUAUUAUCUGUUGAGGGUGAUGUUUUAAAAAUUCCAACCCAUCAAGAUCUACAUUACCCAAAAUGCCAAUGAAAAAAAGAUGGUACUUAACUAAUUAUAACAUUGUGAUAUGAGUAAAAAUAUUUAUCUGUAGUGUUAAAAAAUCUAUUAAAUACACUCAUAUCUAUACUAAACCCAAAUGUAUUCUGUGUUUUUAUCAUUAAUCUCAGUUCUACAGUUUUAUGGUAAUAAAUUUGAUAUUAUUGUAGGAAAUACUUUCAUCCGGACAAGUUUCUUGGAUAUUUUAUGUUCU